rnacentral:rRNA from 1 species
GUGAGGAAUAUUGGACAAUGGGCGCAAGCCUGAUCCAGCCAUGCCGCGUGCAGGAAGACGCAUCUAUGGUGUGUAAACUGCUUUUGUACGGGAAGAAACACUCCCUCGUGAGGGAGCUUGACGGUACCGUAAGAAUAAGGAUCGGCUAACUCCGUGCCAGCAGCCGCGGUAAUACGGAGGAUCCAAGCGUUAUCCGGAAUCAUUGGGUUUAAAGGGUCCGUAGGCGGUUUAAUAAGUCAGUGGUGAAAGCCCAUCGCUCAACGAUGGAACGGCCAUUGAUACUGUUAGACUUGAAUUACAAGGAAGUAACUAGAAUAUGUAGUGUAGCGGUAAAAUGCUUAGAUAUUACAUGGAAUACCAAUUGCGAAGGCAGGUUACUACUUGUGGAUUGACGCUGAUGGACGAAAGCGUGGGGAGCGAACAGGAUUAGAUACCCGUGUAGUCC